ACUCCUACGGGAGGCAGCAGUGGGGAAUAUUGCACAAUGGGCGCAGGCCUGAUGCAGCAACGCCGCGUGAGGGACGACGGCCUUCGGGUUGUAAACCUCUUUUAGUAGGGAAGAAGCGAAAGUGACGGUACCUGCAGAAAAAGCACCGGCUAACUACGUGCCAGCAGCCGCGGUAAUACGUAGGGUGCAAGCGUUAUCCGGAAUUAUUGGGCGUAAAGAGCUCGUAGGCGGUUUGUCGCGUCUGCUGUGAAAACUGGAGGCUCAACCUCCAGCCUGCAGUGGGUACGGGCAGACUAGAGUGCGGUAGGGGAGAUUGGAAUUCCUGGUGUAGCGGUGGAAUGCGCAGAUAUCAGGAGGAACACCGAUGGCGAAGGCAGAUCUCUGGGCCGUAACUGACGCUGAGGAGCGAAAGCAUGGGGAGCGAACAGGAUUAGAUACCCUGGUAGUCCAUGCCGUAAACGUUGGGAACUAGAUGUAGGGACCAUUCCACGGUUUCUGUGUCGCAGCUAACGCAUUAAGUUCCCCGCCUGGGGAGUACGGCCGCAAGGCUAAAACUCAAAGGAAUUGACGGGGGCCCGCACAAGCGGCGGAGCAUGCGGAUUAAUUCGAUGCAACGCGAAGAACCUUACCAAGGCUUGACAUAUACCGGAAAAGUUCAGAAAUGUUCUCCCCGCAAGGUCGGUAUACAGGUGGUGCAUGGUUGUCGUCAGCUCGUGUCGUGAGAUGUUGGGUUAAGUCCCGCAACGAGCGCAACCCUCGUUCUAUGUUGCCAGCACGUAAUGGUGGGAACUCAUAGGAGACUGCCGGGGUCAACUCGGA
rnacentral:rRNA from 1 species